rnacentral:rRNA from 1 species
UGUAAGCGUAUACCAAAGUUGUUGCAGUUAAAACGCUCGUAGUCGGAAUUUGGCAGUUCCGGAAGUGUGCACGUCGUGUGCGCACUUUGCGGGGACUGCUUUUGUGGUCUUGCGUAGGAUGAGGCACUUUCAUUAGUGAACGUCCUCACGCAACCACUCUUUACUGUGAGAAAAUCAGAGUGCUCAAAGCAGGCAUUUGCCGUGAAUGUAUUAGCAUGGAAUAAUAGAAUAGGACUCGGUUCUAUUUUGUUGGUUUGUUGGGACUGAGUGAUGAUUAAGAGGGACAGUUGGGGGCAUUUGUAUUCCGGCGCUAGAGGUGAAAUUCUUAGAUUGCCGGAAGACAAACUGCUGCGAAAGCGUCUGCCAAGGAUGUUUUCAUUGA